AAGCAACGCGAAGAACCUUACCAGGUCUUGACAUCCUUUGCUANUUCUAGAGAUAGAAGGUUCCCUUUGGGGACAGAGUGACAGGUGGUGCAUGGUUGUUGUCAGCUCGUGUCGUGAGAUGUUGGGUUAAGUCCCGCAACGAGCGCAACCCUUGAUUUUAGUUGCCAGCAUUUAGUUGGGCACUUUAAGGUGACUGCCGGUGACAAACCGGAGGAAGGUGGGGAUGACGUCAAAUCAUCAUGCCCCUUAUGACCUGGGCUACACACGUGGUACAAUGGAUGGUACAAAGGGGUGCAAAACCGCGAGGUUAAGCCAAUCCCAUAAAACCAUUUUCAGUUCGGAUUGUAGGCUGCAACUCGCCUACAUGAAGCCGGAAUCGCUAGUAAUCGCGGAUCAGCAUGCCGCGGUGAAUACGUUCCCGGGUNUUGUACACACCGCCCGUCACACCACGAGAGUUUGUAACACCCGAAGUCGGUGAGGUAACCUUUUUGGAGCCAGCCGCCGAAGGUGGGACAGAUGAUUGGGGUGAAGUCGUAACAAGGUAGC
rnacentral:rRNA from 2 species